rnacentral:rRNA from 1 species
UACGAAGGGGCUAGCGUUGCUCGGAAUGACUGGGCGUAAAGGGCGCGUAGGCGGCGCAGUUAGUCAGGCGUGAAAAUUCCUGGGCUCAACCUGGGGACUGCGCUUGAUACGGCUGUGCUUGAGGAUGGAAGAGGCUCGCGGAAUUCCCAGUGUAGAGGUGAAAUUCGUAGAUAUUGGGAAGAACACCGGUGGCGAAGGCGGCGAGCUGGUCCAUUAC